rnacentral:rRNA from 1 species
GUGAGGAAUAUUGGUCAAUGGGCGAGAGCCUGAACCAGCCAAGUCGCGUGAAGGAAGAAGGAUCUAUGGUUCGUAAACUUCUUUUGCAGGGGAAUAAAGUGCAGGACGUGUCCUGUUUUGUAUGUACCCUGAGAAUAAGGAUCGGCUAACUCCGUGCCAGCAGCCGCGGUAAUACGGAGGAUCCGAGCGUUAUCCGGAUUUAUUGGGUUUAAAGGGUGCGUAGGUGGUUUGAUAAGUCAGCGGUGAAAGUUUGCAGCUUAACUGUAAAAAUGCCGUUGAAACUGUCGGACUUGAGUGUAAAUGAGGUAGGCGGAAUGCGUGGUGUAGCGGUGAAAUGCAUAGAUAUCACGAAGAACUCCGAUUGCGAAGGCAGCUUACUAAGCUACAACUGACACUGAAGCACGAAAGCGUGGGGAUCAAACAGGAUUAGAAACCCGUGUAGUCC